rnacentral:tRNA from 1 species
UGGGCAGUAGCCAAGUCGGUAAGGCACGGGACUUUGACUCCCGCAUUUCGUAGGUUCGAGUCCUACCUGCCCAG